rnacentral:rRNA from 1 species
UCAGACGAUGCGUCAUGCAUAUCAAUAAGCGGAGGAAAAGAAACUAACAAGGAUUCCCUCAGUAACGGCGAGUGAAGCGGGAAGAGCUCAAAUUUGAAAUCUUGAAAGGUCACCUUUCACGAAUUGUAGUUUAAAGAAGUGUUUUCUGUUACGAUCGUAAUAUAAGUUCUUUGGAAUAGGACAUCACAGAGGGUGAGAAUCCCGUCUAUGAUUGCGAUUUGUAGCUUUGUGAUACACUUUCAAAGAGUCGGGUUGUUUGGGAAUGCAGCCCAAAACGGGAGGUAAAUUUCUUCUAAGGCUAAAUAUUGGCGAGAGACCGAUAGCGAACAAGUACCGUGAGGGAAAGAUGAAAAGAACUUUGAAAAGAGAGUUAAAUAGUACGUGAAAUUGUCAAAAGGGAAGCGUUUAACACCAGUGUUGUUUUCUGAAAAUCAACCUCUGUUAGCUUUAUGCAUGUUUGUUUAGACCUAAUCAGCUAUCUUGCAUGUUCUAUUGUUUGCAGUGGUGCACUUUUCAGUUUACAGGUCAACAUCAGUUUUUUUUACCGUAAAAAAGUUAAAGAAAGGUAGCUCAUGGCUCCGGUCGUGAGUGUUAUAGUCUUUUUCCUAUGCGGUAGGAGAGACUGAGGUCUGCAGUGUAGGCUAUUUGGCUAGAUACCUCAGGUGCUAUGUGAUACCAUUUCAUAAACAACUUGUUGAUUAUGUUUUGUCUAUUGCAUACUCGCUUGUACUAUCAUACCUACGCUUAGGAUGUUGACUGAUAUGUAGUAGUA